rnacentral:rRNA from 1 species
UACGUAGGUGGCAAGCGUUGUCCGGAAUUAUUGGGCGUAAAGCGCGCGCAGGCGGUCCCUUAAGUCUGAUGUGAAAGCCCACGGCUCAACCGUGGAGGGUCAUUGGAAACUGGGGGACUUGAGUACAGAAGAGGAAAGCGGAAUUCCACGUGUAGCGGUGAAAUGCGUAGAGAUGUGGAGGAACACCAGUGGCGAAGGCGGCUUUCUGGUCUGUAACUGACGCUGAGGCGCGAAAGCGUGGGAGCAAACAGG